UUCGUAGGGGGCAAGCGUUGUCCGGAAUCAUUGGGCGUAAAGCGCGUGUAGGCGGCCCUGCAAGUCCGCUGUGAAAGUCGGGGGCUCAACCCUCGAAUGCCGGUGGAUACUGUCGGGCUAGAGUGCGGGAGAGGCGAGUGGAAUUCCUGGUGUAGCGGUGAAAUGCGCAGAUAUCAGGAGGAACACCAAUUGCGAAGGCAGCUCGCUGGAACGUAACUGACGCUGAGACGCGAAAGCGUGGGGAGCAAACAGG
rnacentral:rRNA from 1 species